AAAGAUCAGGAUUUUCUUAACUUGAUGGAAAAACUCAAUGAGAACAUGAAGAUUUUGAGCAGUCCCUGGACACAGUUUUGCAGUUUUUUCCCUGUUUUAAUUGAUUAUUGUCCGGGAAGUCAUACGACAUUAGCUAAAAAUAUAUAUUAUAUUAGAAACUACCUUCUGAAGAAAAUAAAAGAACAUCAAGAAUCACUGGAUGUUACAAAUCCUCGGGACUUUAUUGAUUAUUACCUAAUUAAGUGGAAGCAGUCACAAUCCACAUUCGGAAUUUACACUUGAAAACUUAUCAAUCACUGUGACUGAUUUGUUUGCUGCUGGGACAGAGACAACAAGCACAACACUGAGAU
rnacentral:lncRNA from 1 species